UGAAGGGUUGGAGAACACUUAAAUGUAAUUGAUGUUAACUAAGGGAAACUGGGGUAUGUCAGCAGUAAAUGGGGAGGGUCAGAGUUCCCUCCCUUUUGAAACCAACUCACCUGGAACCGGACCCUGGCCUUGACCUUUGACCCCUCACCAGCUGUCUGCACCUCCUCACCCUGUCGGAUCUUCUGACGCUGCUCCGGGACCUCACCCUUCCCCCCGCCCUCCCCCUCCCGGCCCGGUUCGCUCUUCGUCCCGUCGCCCUCCGCCGCGGCCUCGGGCGGCUCCCCGGGCGGCUCGCCGCAGGAGGCCUCGUUGCUGUUGUUGUUCUCAUCCACCAGGAAGGAGGUGACGCUCCUGUAGGCGAUGGGCGAGUACACAGCGAGGGUGCGGGGGUACCGGACCGCGCCCGCCGCCCUGGGGCUGCCGCCGCCAGGCACCGCCGCGGCCUCCUGCUGACCCUUGCGCCGGAAGUCCCGCUUCAUGGAGAGGAGCGUCCGCGGGCCGAUGGAGCACUGCACCGAGGCGUCCCGCUUCGGGUUCACCUGCACCGACACAUCCUUGGUGUUGGCCUUGCGGAGCCUCGGGGUGAGCUUGGGGUUGAUCUGGGAGAGGAUGGACUUGAGGUGGGCGCGCUGCUGGUUGUUGAAGGCGUCAGACGCGUCGCUGUAGUGGGACAAGUAACUUUUAUAUUUCCAGCCCGCCUCUUUAGCCCUGGGAUAUCUGCCCGUGUACGGGUUAUAAGAUGAGUAGAAGUAGCUGUCGAAUGGCUCGUCACCAUACGUCGCCAUUUUGUUCAACCAACCGCGGCUGCGAGGUGCCGCCAUUUAAGUAGAUGGACUCACGCGCGCCUUCUCCAUCAGGUGUAAUCACGGACAGGUGAGGAAGUGAUGUCACGUGACAAGGGGUUGGAUCAGGAGGACAGGGGUCCAACAUGAUGGUGUUUGGGUCACUCACUGUCACAGCACCAUAAGACGAGUCAAAGUCCUCGUCGUCGUUAAACCUCUGAUAUGUUAUAUCCCCGCCAUCUGCCGUGGGGUCGGGUUUGUGCAGGACCUCCUUCCUGUACAACCUGUAGGCCAGGAUGAAGAUGCCGGCCUCAGCUGCUUGGAACAAGGCGUACAGCAGAGGGAACAUGUACAUCCCUCCCAUCAGCUGCGGGGGGAAGGCCAGCUUCAGGAUGGCAGUGCACAGCUGCACGUUCUGGCAGCCGGUCUCCAUGGAGACGGACCUGCAGCUGCUGGGCGGCAGGGCGAAGAGCUUGGCCAGGCCGUAACCUGCGGCAUAGCCACACAUAGGCAUCAGGAUAGCCACCACGUAGACGGAAGGCGGGAUGGUGGACAGCAGAUCCGGCCCCAGCAUCGCUCCAGUCAGGAUGAAGAGCAUUAUAAGGGUGACGAGCAGGGACCACAGGGAGGCCUGGAGAAACAGGAAGUCAGGAUGAAGGUGAUUGUUCACAUGCUGCUGUGUUCUACUAUAGGACACGUUUUACUGGGCAUCCAGAAAACAGAGUCACUUCCUGGGUCUCCCCCAGGUCCCCUCUCAGGUUUGACCUUUUAAAGUACUUUGUGUGUUUUUGAUUAGGGAUUAAAAGGAAAAGGGGGAUGUCACUUGUUGUUAAGACUUUGUUUUUUGAGUUAUAACAAUAAAAGUGACUUGAAAUGGA